CCCGUGUUCUGACCCUGGCCCGCCUCUUUGGUUGUUUGAGCUUCUUCCCCUGCAUCGUCCCACUGAACGACACGGAGUCUGGGGACCAAGCCGGCUGCACAGUAACGCCCCAGAGGCUGCCCCUAGGCCGCACUCUGUCAUGAAUUGGAAGACUAAGGCCAGAAGGGAUCAGGAGAGCAUCAAAUCUGACCCCUGCACAUCCCAGCCCUCCUCUAUAGCACAGCGGAGAGCUCCGUCUGAAGUGAGCCAUUUCCACUCUGGCCAGCUGUGAAACGGAAUGACCCUGCCUCCUUUGAAACCGUCCCUAGGGCUGAAACCAUCAGGGUCUCUCCGGAAGGCAGCCGGGUUCGUGGGCGAGUUCCAGCAUCACCCCAUGGGGGAGAGACCCUGAGCUUCAUGGCCUGACCUGGGGAAUCCUGCUUUGCAGAGGCUGCUCCCAGAAGCUCAGGGGAUUGCUCAUUAAAGUUGCCUGGCACAUGGGCCUGGUCAGGGCUGUGCUUUGAUCUCUGUGUGGUCUUA